UUUACUUAUGGGAAGAAUAGAUAUAAUCUUGCUUGGUGUUAGUUACAACUCAAUAGUGGAAUGUCAAGCGUUCAAAAUUUAAAGGUAUUUUAAGGUUUAAUUGUAAGCUUAUUUAAAAUUUCUAAAACUCUCAUAUUUUAGCGACAUACAUCGACAGUAACAAGGAUGCUGUUCCUGGUCUUGCUGAUGCGUAUGCAGCAAAUCAUGCUGGGAAAAUGCUUUCUGAUGUCCAGCUUUGAAUGGAGACACUAAAGGAAAAUCAGUUGGGACCUGACAACGAGUUCUGGAAAUGAGUAAAUGUACAACAUGGCUGAACUCGAUUUUGAGCAUGGUAUAUGAAUUACUUCUGGACGGGAGUCAUAUGAAUGGAACAGGGACAGACAAACAAUCCAGGAACACAAAACACAUCAUCCUCGUGGUGCCAAUACUAACAUCUGUUGUACUUCGUCUGCUGGAAACUGAAGGCUGAAACAUGAAAAGGCUCUCAAGCAAGGGAAUAGGCUCAGAACAGUCAGCUAGUUCAAAGGUAACCAGACCUGGAGCAGAGAUACGAGGCCGGGGUGCAUCCAUGGAA